GUGGGGAAUCUUGCGCAAUGGGCGAAAGCCUGACGCAGCCAUGCCGCGUGAAUGAUGAAGGUCUUAGGAUUGUAAAAUUCUUUCACCGGGGACGAUAAUGACGGUACCCGGAGAAGAAGCUCCGGCUAACUUCGUGCCAGCAGCCGCGGUAAUACGAAGGGGGCUAGCGUUGCUCGGAAUUACUGGGCGUAAAGGGCGCGUAGGCGGACAGCUUAGUCAGAGGUGAAAGCCCAGGGCUCAACCUUGGAAUUGCCUUUGAUACUGGCUGUCUUGAGUUUGGGAGAGGUGAGUGGAACUCCGAGUGUAGAGGUGAAAUUCGUAGAUAUUCGGAAGAACACCAGUGGCGAAGGCGACUCACUGGCCCAAUACUGACGCUGAGGCGCGAAAGCGUGGGGAGCAAACAGGAUUAGAUACCCGUGUAGUC
rnacentral:rRNA from 1 species